GACGAACGCUGGCGGCGUGCUUAACACAUGCAAGUCGAACGGAAAGGCCCUGCUUUUGUGGGGUGCUCGAGUGGCGAACGGGUGAGUAACACGUGAGUAACCUGCCCUUGACUUUGGGAUAACUUCAGGAAACUGGGGCUAAUACCGGAUAGGAGCUCCUGCUGCAUGGUGUGGGUUGGAAAGUUUCGGCGGUUGGGGAUGGACUCGCGGCUUAUCAGCUUGUUGGUGGGGUAGUGGCUUACCAAGGCUUUGACGGGUAGCCGGCCUGAGAGGGUGACCGGCCACAUUGGGACUGAGAUACGGCCCAGAGUCCUAUGGGAGGCAGCAGUGGGGAAUAUUGCACAAUGGGCGGAAGCCUGAUGAAGCAACGCCGCGUGCGGGAUGACGGCCUUCGGGUUGUAAACCGCUUUAGCCUGUGACGAAGCGUGAGUGACGGUAAUGGGUAAAGAAGCACCGGCUAACUACGUG
rnacentral:rRNA from 1 species